AUGACCUUUAAAUUUAGUCCCGUGAGGCUAAGAAGGAAAUCUGCGUUAGUCAUGCUUUUUGUGCAUGCUCCAGAAAGACCAUCUUAGACUCAGUGUCCAGAAUGGUCUUUUUCUU
rfam:Lactobacillus amylolyticus DSM 11664 contig00097, whole genome shotgun sequence.